UCUUCUUGAGAGAUCCCAUCUUUGGUCAUGUGUAAGAGCAAUUUAAUUACAUCUUCUCUGAUAAACUAAUAACGACAUGCAUGCUGCUUCCUGUGUACUAGGCGGACAGUAGUCAGCACGGGACGUGCAGAGUGGGAGUCCAGCAGGACGAGUCACUUUCUCUGUGGCCCAGUGUGAUUGCCUGGGUGACUCUACCCAAAGUAAAUGAGUCCUGUGCAACCAGCGUUGGCCUUCUCCGUGAGUCGGUGACCGCAGUCAUAGUGCUCCAGUGUCUUGGGCAGCUGCUAUGGCCCUGUCACUGCUCUUUGUGCAGUGAAGGGAGGGACCCUGCUGCCAGGAACCGAUUCCCUGGUGACUGUUCAGCUCCUGUGGCCCAGGGCAAUGCAUAACACUUGGCCCGCCACAGGCAAGACAGAAUAAAAACAGGUUGGGGAGAUCACUCAGUAGGUAAGAAUGCUUGCUCUGCAAGCAUAGAGAUCUGAGUUCAAACCCCCAGCACCUAUGUAAAACCCAGGCAUGGCCAUAUGCAUGUGAGCUGUGACAGGUUUUUCUUGGGCUUGACAGCUUCCCCCUGAGCUCCAGGUUCUGUGAGAAACAUGUGGAUAAACUACACCACAUAUGUAUAAUAAAAUAAAACGAUUUUUAAAAAUUAAAAAAAGACCCAGAACAACUAGUCCAGCAUUCCCGCUGCUCACAACAUGUUGGAGCCAGAAUUCCCCCCAUAAUUGUAAGGGAGCAGAUUGCCAAUCGUCAACUGCGCAGUCCUGUUUUGUGUGUUUACACCCACCACAGCGCUGAGGUGUGCACUUCAGGGUGACCGCCAAGGAAGACACAAUGAGCCAGAGUUCUCACCCAUGAUGUGGAGACCAGAGUCUGGCAGAGAGGUCUUCCACAACUCUAGACACAGCACAGUUAGCCCGAUGGAAGAUGCAGACCAGAGGAAACUGGCUUCCCUUUCUUUGAGCUAGAGGAAUAUCCUACUACAAAAGUGUCUUCUCUUGGUGACCAAACAAAAGGCUGGCUCACUGGGGUACGGUGUAACAGCAGCCUUCAAACCGAGAUUGUAACCCUAACUUAGAGUUGGUACUUUCUCACUGUUAACAGUCUGAACACAAAUCAAGAUGGAGAACACGGGGAGAGAAGGAAAAUCUCACAUAAAGCAACAACUGCCUCACUUGAAGGGCAGGUCCUUGGCUGACUGAGAGGAGGAGCCCCUUCACAGUGGCCCAGCUCUUCUUCCAGGUGGUUGGCUGGCUGUAGGCGCCAACACUACCACAAGUUCUUCCUCUCCUGUUUAAAAGUACUUUCCAACCACAAGGAUAUUGCAGCAAAUGAGAAAAGGACAAACCUUUUGAAAGGAAAGGAAAAUGGAAGAACAGCCACUCAGCCUGACAGGCGGACUGCCCGGUGUGUUAAAAGGGACUUGCUCUGACUUUGGGUGUUGGUCUGGUUGUUUUCUCCUGGGAAAUCAAGCACUGCAGAUGCCGCUUCUCUGACACCCAUCCCCAGAGCCGAGGAGGAGCGAUGGGCAGAGACCUCAGAGUCGACACACCUGCUUCCUUUAAGAACCACGGAAAUCUCACCCCGCAAGGACAAAAUACAGGGUUGGGGACAGACCAAGGCCAGCUGCUGACCCAGGUGUCUGGAGGAGAAGACAACUGAAGGCAAAGAAAAAGUGAGCCUCAAACCCAAGAAGCACUGACAGGAGCCAGGCACACAGGCCGUGCAGCAGGGACUCCGUGGCUGGCACACUAGAGUGGAAGACCUUGAACCUCCUAAAUUCUGAAUCAUGUGACUACAUUACUAUUCAAAGAUGACACACAUGGAUUAAAGGAAAGCACACUCCUGUCUGGAAA
rnacentral:sRNA from 1 species